rnacentral:rRNA from 1 species
CCUACGGGAGGCAGCAGUAGGGAAUAUUGCUCAAUGGGGGAAACCCUGAAGCAGCAACGCCGCGUGGAGGAUGAAGGUUUUCGGAUUGUAAACUCCUUUUGUUAGAGAAGAUAAUGACGUUAUCUACAGAAUAAGCAACGGCUAACUCCGUGCCAGCAGCCACGGUAAUAAGGAGGGUGAAAGCGUUACUCGGAAUCACUGGGCGUAAAGAGGGAGGAGGAGGGAUAGCAAGUCAGAUGUGAAAUCCUAUGGAUUAACCAUAGAUCUGCAUUUGAAACUGUUAUUCUAGAGUAUGGGAGAGGUAGGUGGAAUGCUUGGUGUAGGGGUAAAAUCCGUAGAGAUCAAGAGGAAUACUCAUUGCGAAGGCGACCUGCUAGAACAUAACUGACGCUGAUGCGCGAAAGCGUGGGGAGCAAACAGGAUUAGAUACCCUUGUAGUC